rnacentral:piRNA from 1 species
UGGAGUGUGUUUGAGGCUUAGGAG